rfam:Drosophila busckii chromosome 2R sequence.
AGCACCUAAAAGCGUUUUCAUGAUCGCUCUGAUGAAACGCGCUUGAAAAUCGUAGCUGUGUGCCAGAGCAAAUCUUGGUUGCAAGUGACUAUAAAAGUCCUUAGAGUCUGUAGUCCCUAACGCCGAGUACAUUA